UACAGAGGGGGCAAGCGUUGUUCGGAAUUACUGGGCGUAAAGGGCGCGUAGGCGGCCGCCUAAGUCAGACGUGAAAUCCCUCGGCUCAACCGGGGAACUCGCGUCUGAUACUGGGUGGCUUGGAAUUCGGGAGAGGGAGUGCGGAAUUCCAGGUGUAGCGGUGAAAUGACGUAGAUAUCUGGAGGACACCGGUGGCGAAGGCGGCAUCCUGGACCGAGAGUUGACGCUGAGGCGCGAAAGCGUGGGGAGCGAACGAGGA
rnacentral:rRNA from 1 species